CUUGAAGAGAGCAAUGCACUCAGAAUUAUUUGAUACAUUUUAUUUAAAAAAAUAGACAUGAUGAAGCGUAAAAAUUACAUAUAAACAGUAAUGAAAUUAAGGAUAUAUAUGUGAUACACUAACAAAAAUAAAUGUCACAAGCUAUCAAGUAUUUACAGAGUUAGAUACAACAGGUACCUGACUAUUUAAAAUAAAUAGUCGAUAGCUAGUGUUAUGGCAUAAAGCUUCUAAACAGAAUGGAAAAACAUUUUUUCUGAAAUAUUUCAUAAAAUACACAUUCAAAUGAGUGUCAUUUUUCUUUCCCACCCAAAUAUCACCAUAAAAUCUUUACAUUACUAAGGUUAGGAACUGAAUAAUAGAAGACACAAUGGAAAAAUUUUACAUGUUUGUGCUAUAAAUAUUUACACAACAGUGUGUUGAUCCUUCAGGUAUACUGCAUACAUCAUGUAAUUCUUAAGCACGCCCUGCCGAUUUAGGAAAUAUGAUUUGACUGAAACUAUGCAAUCUGUUCUAUCAAGAAUACAAAAAAAGACAGUACUGGCAAUUUAAUAAAUGCAUUAUAACCAAGAACAUUACUUUCUUUAUCAUUGUUAUUACCAAAGGCUCAUUGGUUCAAUGAUUACAAUAUUUUCAACUUUUAAACACUGGACAAGAGGAUUAUAUACCCAUGUUUCCCAACUAAUAUCUGCAAUUAAUACAGUAGAAUCUGCAAUGGACAGGUAACAUGUUAUCAUUGUUACUACAGAGAUUACCUGACAACUAUGUUCAUGAGACCAUAACAAAUAAUGCUGUUUUAAGUGAAAAGAUGUGGUCCUAAACAUGCCUCCACAAAUAAUACAAAGAUGUUAGGUGAAAGGAAAAGUAAAAAAACAAACAAAAACAAAAAACACCUCCAAGCACCAUAACCAUUACAGCUACAGGGCUCAAAAUGUUCUCUCACUUAGGAAAGGACUAAGGGCAGUGAAAUGGAAUAAAUAUAUGAUGGAAGAGAGCUUAAGAGAUGAUCCGUCAGAGAGAGGAGACAGAAUAACUAUUCACAAGAGUAGAGGUGGGUCACUGGACGGAUAUGGUAGUGCUAGGAGAUAACUAAUAUGACGUACACGCAUUAUUUGUGGUGUUGAAAAAGUUUUAGGCCUUACUAACAGGUUAUGACUUGAGAUUUUGACAGUGGCUUACAGCAUUGUCUCUAUUGGUUGGAUGGGGUUCCAACAAAUUUACCAUAUAAUCGCAUUACAUUUUAUUUAAUUUUAUGUAUCCAGCACCCAGAUUCCAGUUCCUUAUGUGAUUAAAGGAAGCAUUGUGUCCCUACUGAGCAAUCAAAGUACCUGUAUGGAAUUAGUAGGAACAGCCUGCUUAAGCUGUGCCAGUCAGUUCCUGAACCUGCAAGAACUACAUAGCAAGAGCUCACAGCAUAGGUCAGGGAUAAGCAACCUUCGGCACUCCAGAUGAUGUGGACUACAUCCCCACAUAAUGCUCUUACACCCAUAAUGCUGGUAAAGCAUAAUGGGAGGUAUAGUCCAAAAUAUCUGGGGUGCCAAAGGUUGCCGAUGCCUGGCAUAGGUCAUAAAAGACUGAAUGGGCAUAUAAUAUUUUCACAAAUUACAUCAGUAGGAAGGGUAGGGAUGGAGUGCUGCCAACACCAGAUAUCUAGCUAAAAGGGAAACUAUCUGAAGUAUUUAGAAAUUAAGUUACCACGAUAAACUUACUUUAAACUGAUUAUAGUGAUUGGGGUGUCCUUUAAUGGAAAACACGUGAAUUCAAAACAACUUUAGCUUAAUGAAGCAGUUUUAGUGUAUAGAUCAUGUACCUGCAGUCUCACUGCACAAAUCUAUGUCAUUUAGGAGUUAAAUCACUUUUGUUUCUGUUUAUGCUGCCCUAACCACAACUUCCCUGGCUGUGGUUCACACAGCUUGCAAUAAAACAAAUAGUUUCAUUUUCAAUCAAAUGUUAACUUGCUUUGAAAGGUUUUCCUGCGCUUUAAAUUGAACAUUAAUCAAUCACAAAAGGCUCCUCCAGGGUUUAAAAGGCUUGAGCAGGAAAUAACAAAUUCUUAAUUAAUCAGAAUGUGUAAUAAAGGUAGUUUAAACAUUAGAUGACUCUUUAUAGGAAGUGUUUAAGAAGGCUGUACAUGUCACAUGCAGGGAGGGUAGUGAUUUAACACCUAAAUGGUAAAGAAUUGAGCAGUGAGACUGUAGGGGCAUGAUUAUACACCAACACUGCUUUAUUAAGCUGAAGUUGUUUUGGUGCCUAUAGUGUCUCUCUAAGUGUGUGUGUAACAACACUUCUAUCCUACGCCUGCUACCUAUAGAUUUUACUCAAAUAAUUGUGUGAUCUGCAAACCUUAGUGAUCCAGUAAAGAUGAACAAGUAUACCCAAUGCUAUUGAUGGCAAAAAAAAGCCUUCUACAGUUUUGGCAACAAGAUUCUGGAUUACAACUACUCUGUGCCACUGAAAAUGCCAUUCUUCUUUCCCUACAUCACCAAAGGAAAACAGGGCCUGUUGCAGCUAUAGUAUCAAAUGCUUCUGUUAAUCCACUCUAUAUGUAUAUAAUUAUAUAUUUUUUACCUUAGCAUAUUAAAGCUGUAAAGAAAAAAAAAAAGCUUUACAGAGUCGUAUGACCAAAUAAAAAAAAAAUGCUACAGAAAACAUCUUAAUACUAAAUAUGUGUCCUACUGAUAUGGUGUUUCAGUUUGUCUGGACAUCCUUAAAGGCAAUCUUUGAAACCAAAACUAUUUCAUCUUAAUGCAGUGGUUUUGGUGCAUCGAUGCUGCUCCUUUUAUCUGGCAAAGCAAACCUUUGCAGUUUCAGAGGAACUGCUAUGUUUACAUUUUGCCUUAAACGUCUCAGACACACAGCUACUAGAGGCAUUUUCUCUGUAAGAUCUUUGAUUUUUGAAGGUUUUUACAUUUUGUGUCAUCACGCACAGCAUAAUGAAGCCAAGUGUCGCUAAUGUCCCAGCGCUGAACUACAGGUACAUUUUUUUUUUUUUACUGGCUUUAUUUGCAAUGGGGGAGAGAACAGUAAUCUAAACUACAAAGAAAAACUUUUUUAUACACUUUAUAAUUUAUUUUUAAAGUAAGAACAUUUUUUAGAGAAAGACCAUUUAAAACUUCAUUAAAUCAUUUAACCUAAUUAUUCCAGUUGACAAAAUUGGAAACACUAUAAAAGACCAUACAGGUAUAUAAACGGUCAUCCACUAUCUUCCUCUUUAAUGGAGGGCCACAGCUGGCUGUUCAUCAAUUUCAGUGUAUAAUCAUUCUCAUGUGUCACCAUUUGAGAUUAUCCGCCUAAAGGCAGACUAUGUUAUAAAGCAAGAGUGACUGCUGAUUGGAGGAUAAGAGAAAAUUCAUUGUAAAUAAUGAGAUGAAUGAAAUAUGGGGAGGGCUUGUUGUGCACACAGUACAGUAUGCUAAUUAUGCUACCACUCAAAAUAUCAUCCACAUAUCACAUACAGUUGUAUUAUAAAAGGGCCUGUAGUUAGACGUUUAAAGAAUUGAAUUAUGCGACUUCAUUGUUCAUACAAAAGACAAGACUAAUAUCUAUCUAGUCUUGUAGACGUUCCCCUUUCAUUGAACAGGACAAGAACUAGUUUAAAUGGACAGUUAAAAUACAUCAUUUUUCCCAUAUACAUAAAUAGAAGGAAAAAAAAAAAAUAACUACAUAUUUAAGCAAAUAUAUAUAAGAACAGUAAUUUCUUUAUUAACUAAUUUGUUAAAUAAAUUUCAUAGUUCAAACACCAUUGACACUUUUAUACAAAACAUCACAGUGCUUAUCUGUAGCACAUACCGUAUAAAACUUUUCUAGGUGAAACACUAAACCAAAAUAAUAUAUCUUUUGAUUUUAAUAUGCCUAUGUAUAUGUGUUUUUUUUUGUUUUUGUUUUUUAAAUAGAAAUUUACCUUGUAAUACAAGAACAACUGUAUUUGUUAACAACAUACAGCCAGACUUUACUGCUGACAUUUUAACACGGCCACAACCUAAUUCACUUAGUUAUGUUUACAAUACUGUACACAAGGCUAUUAAGAUUCAUGAUAUUAUGAAACAAUAUAUAUUACAUAAAGUUGUAACUUCUAUGAAGGAGAAAAUUUUACAGAUUGCAGCUACAUGUUAGAUAUUUUAAAUAGUACCUGCAAUAACACAAAACAAACAUUUAAUUUUCUGCUUCUGGCCUGGUACAUGAGUAAUCGGCUCCAUAUUUAUUUUUUAUUUAAAUCAACAAAAACAAAAUACUCAAGGUUGUUACUUACAUAUCACCUCUAAUUAUGUAUUACUAAAAAUUCUGUAUUCUGGAUACUUUGUGUGUGCUCUGAUUUUGAAGAAAAAAAAAUGAAUCAAAUUGUCACAUCCCAU